GUUUGGCUUGCAGAAAAGUACUUGAAAUCUGUGUGCAAUCCUCAGUAAAGAAAAGUUUUAUUUUAUGAAUGCAAAGUUUAACAAGCAAAUACAUUUCAUCUGCUUUAUAACAAGGAGAAUAUUGCUGUGAUUUAAAAGUCUGAGAUAUUUUCUGGGAGUAUUUCUCUAUGUUCUUACUGCAGAUUUCUCUGUAUUUAUCUUAGUGGGAACUACUAGUUGAUAGGACAAAAUGUGAUUGCAGGAUCUUUUAGCUUUAGAAGGUCCUAUUCAGUAUUCCCCAUGUGUGAAAAUCUCACUAGCUGGUAUUACAAGGGCAGAAUCUUAAUGCACUUCUUUGGGUCUGUUCUGUAGAGUGUUGGUUUGAUGUGGCCUCUGCCUUUUCACUGGCUAAUCGAGGUCCACUGGGACUGCAGAUGGGUUCCAAGAGAGUACAAUUGAUUAGAUGCAUAUUUUCUGAAUUAUACAACAGAUCACACCCAGCUGCACAGCUUUUCUCAGAACUGCAGGUUCAGCAAUACAACGGAUCAGUUAGAGAAGCUGCUGCUGCUUUUCAAAGAACUGAAGAGUGGUCAGUAAAGAAGAGGAAAAGCCACUUGGCAUGGCAAGAAAAAGGUGCUGUUCCACCGAAUUCUUGA
rnacentral:lncRNA from 1 species